rnacentral:lncRNA from 1 species
AACAAUUAAAUCAUAUUAAUAUUUAAAAUAAAUUAGAAAAUAGAGAAGAUAAUUAGCAUUGCUUCUAAAGCAUAAUUUAAGUUGAUAUGAAUCUAACACAACAAAAACAAGGUUAAAUAGAGUUAAAACGUGAAAUCUAGGAGCUAAACAAGGUUGGGGAUCUAAUCGUGAUUAACGAAAGAUUACAUGGCCUAACAAAGGAUAUUAGCAAGACACUACAAAUAAUGCUCACAAAAAGAUCAAAGGAUAAGGUUAGAUCUGUUAAAGGUGCAUGGCUCGGGUUCGAUUGAAGGCAUCUAAUUCUUUCAAGGUGGGGGGUUAUCUAUAGAUUUGCCAAGAUACAAAAGAUAAGGUAGUCAUUAUAGGGUUCUCUAGGAUCUUAAACUCAAAAGGGCUCGGGCUUCUUCUUCCUCUAGCCUAGGGCGGCUCUGGGCAAUGAUCCUCACCGGCGCUACGGGUGGCUAGGGUCUCUGGCAGGUGGCGCUAUCAUUUCCCUUGCAGGCACCCUCAAACAAAUCAGAGCCUACACCCUCGGUAUUGCCUACAUUCAUCCCCGCCCCCUUCACCCUCCCCCUCGAAACAAAAAAAAGGGCUCAACUCUAGCUCUCCCGAUGUUGCCACC